UACGUAGGUGGCAAGCGUUGUUCGGAAUUACUGGGCGUAAAGGGCGCGUAGGCGGACUCUUAAGUCGGUGGUGAAAUCCUGGAGCUCAACUCCAGAACUGCCUUCGAUACUGAGAGUCUCGAGUCCGGGAGAGGUGAGUGGAACUGCGAGUGUAGAGGUGAAAUUCGUAGAUAUUCGCAAGAACACCAGUGGCGAAGGCGGCUCACUGGCCCGGUACUGACGCUGAGGUGCGAAGCGUGGGGAGCAAACAGG
rnacentral:rRNA from 1 species